UACGUAGGGUGCAAGCGUUGUCCGGAAUCAUUGGGCGUAAAGCGCACGUAGGCGGCUUUGUAAGUUAGAGGUGAAAGCCCGGGGCUCAACUCCGGAAUUGCCUUUAAGACUGCAUCGCUAGAAUUGUGGAGAGGUAAGUGGAAUUCCGAGUGUAGAGGUGAAAUUCGUAGAUAUUCGGAAGAACACCAGUGGCGAAGGCGACUUACUGGACACAUAUUGACGCUGAGGUGCGAAAGCGUGGGGAGCAAACAGG
rnacentral:rRNA from 1 species